GGGGGUGUGGCUCAGUGGUAGAGUACUUGCUUAGCAUGUGCAAUGCCUUGGGCUCCAUCCCCAACAUUACCA
rnacentral:tRNA from 1 species